UAUAUACAACCUCAACUCAUAUGGGACUACCCCCUGAAUUUAAGCAUAUUAAUUAGGGGAGGAAAAGAAACUAACCAGGAUUUUCUUAGUAGCGGCGAGCGAAAAGAAAUCAGUUCAGCACUAAGUCACUUUGUCUAUAUGGCAAACGUGAGAUGCAGUGUAUGGAGCGUCAAUAUUCUAGUAUGAGAAAUUAACGAUUUAAGUCCUUCUUAAAUGAGGCCAUUUACCCAUAGAGGGUGCCAGGCCCGUAUAACGUUAAUGAUUACUAGAUGAUGUUUCCAAAGAGUCGUGUUGCUUGAUAGUGCAGCACUAAGUGGGUGGUAAACUCCAUCUAAAACUAAAUAUAACCAUGAGACCGAUAGUAAACAAGUACCGUGAGGGAAAGUUGAAAAGAACUCUGAAUAGAGAGUUAAACAGUACGUGAAACUGCUUAGAGGUUAAGCCCGAUGAACCUGAAUAUCCGUUAUGGAAAAUUCAUCAUUAAAGUUGUAAUAUUUUAACAAUAUUAUAAUAAUAGUGUGCAUUUUUUCCAUAUAAGGACAUUGUAAUCUAUUAGCAUAUAACAAAUUUAUCAUAAAAUAUGACUUAUAGUUUAUUCAAAUUAUUAUGCUUGCAUUUUAACAUAGAAUAAAUGUCAUUAAUUUGAUAAAGUGUUGAUAAAUUAAAAUUAAUACAGUGCGUUAAUUUUUCGAAAUUAUAUAAUGGCAUAAUUAUCAUUGAUUUUUGUGUUUAUUAUAUGCAUUUGUAUGAUUAACAAUGCGAAAGAUUCAGGAUACCUUCGGGACCCGUCUUGAAACACGGACCAAGGAGUCUAACAUAUGUGCAAGUUAUUGGGAGAUAAACCUAAUAGCGUAAUUAACUUGACUAAUAAUGGGAUUAGUUUUUUAACUAUUUAUAGAUAAUUAACACAAUCCCGGGGCGUUCUAUAUAGUUAUGUAUAAUAAUAUUUAUAUUAUUUAUGCCUCUAACUGGAACGUACCUUGAGCAUAUAUGCUGUGACCCGAAAGAUGGUGAACUAUACUUGAUCAGGUUGAAGUCAGGGGAAACCCUGAUGGAAGACCGAAACAGUUCUGACGUGCAAAUCGAUUGUCAGAAUUGAGUAUAGGGGCGAAAGACCAAUCGAACCAUCUAGUAGCUGGUUCCUUCCGAAGUUUCCCUCAGGAUAGCUGGUGCAUUUUAAUGUUAUAUAAAAUAAUCUUAUCUGGUAAAGCGAAUGAUUAGAGGCCUUAGGGUCGAAACGAUCUUAACCUAUUCUCAAACUUUAAAUGGGUAAGAACCUUAACUUUCUUGAUAUGAAGUUUAAGGUUAUGAUAUAAUGUGCCCAGUGGGCCACUUUUGGUAAGCAGAACUGGCGCUGUGGGAUGAACCAAACGUAAUGUUACGGUGCCCAAAUUAACAACUCAUGCAGAAACCAUGAAAGGCGUUGGUUGCUUAAAACAGCAGGACGGUGAUCAUGGAAGUCGAAAUCCGCUAAGGAGUGUGUAACAACUCACCUGCCGAAGCAACUAGCCCUUAAAAUGGAUGGCGCUUAAGUUGUAUACCUAUACAUUACCGCUAAAGUAGAUGAUUUAUAUUACUUGUGAUAUAAAUUUUGAAACUUUAGUGAGUAGGAAGGUACAAUGGUAUGCGUAGAAGUGUUUGGCGUAAGCCUUCAUGGAGCUGCCAUUGGCACAGAUCUUGGUGGUAGUAGCAAAUAAUCGAAUGAGACCUUGGAGGACUGAAGUGGAGAAGGGUUUCGUGUGAACAGUGGUUGAUCACGAGUUAGUCGGUCCUAAGUUCAAGGCGAAAGCCGAAAAUUUUCAAGUAAAAAAUCAGUGAGUAAUAUUGUCAAAUCUUUUAUGAUUUUUAAAUACUUGAAUAAUUUUGAACGAAAGGGAAUACGGUUCCAAUUCCGUAACCUGUUGAGUAUCCGUUUGUUAUUAAAUAUGGGCCUCGUGCUCAUCCUGGCAACAGGAACGACCAUAAAGAAGCCGUCGAGAGAUAUCGGAAGAGUUUUCUUUUCUGUUUUAUAGCCGCACUACCAUGGAAGUCUUUCGCAGAGAGAUAUGGUAGAUGGGCUAGAAGAGCAUGACAUAUACUGUUGUGUCGAUAUUUUCUCCUCGGACCUUGAAAAUUUAUGGUGGGGACACGCAAACUUCUCAACAGGCCGUACCAAUAUCCGCAGCUGGUCUCCAAGGUGAAGAGUCUCUAGUCGAUAGAAUAAUGUAGGUAAGGGAAGUCGGCAAAUUAGAUCCGUAACUUCGGGAUAAGGAUUGGCUCUGAAGAUUGAGAUAGUCGGGCUUGAUUGGGAAACAAUAACAUGGUUUAUGUGCUCGUUCUGGGUAAAUAGAGUUUCUAUCAUUUAUGGUAGUUACUUGUUCCCCGGAUAGUUUAGUUACGUAGCCAAUUGUGGAACUUUCUUGCUAAAAUUUUUAAGAAUACUAAUUGGGUUAAACCAGUUAGUUCUUAUUAAUUAUAACGAUUAUCAAUUAACAAUCAAUUCAGAACUGGCACGGACUUG
rnacentral:rRNA from 1 species